GCCUUAAUGCAGCCGACGGCGGUCACAAGCCCGCGUGUAAUGCAGAGUGAGGC
rnacentral:ribozyme from 2 species